GUGUGACUCAUCAAAAUGUCGUCAAAUUACAUCCCUGUUUUGUUACAUCUUAAAGUGUCUUUAAGUAUUGUAAAUAUGCUGUAAGCUACAAGUGCUAUUGGAGCAUAUAAUAAUACCAGCAGAAUUGGGAUGAAUGUUUACUGUUACAAUAGAUCAGCCAGCUUCAACAGAUCUAGUUUUCUUGUGCCUUAUGCUGUUAGAAGUUGGGAGUGAUUGUGAUGUAGAAAACAGGUGCUGUGUUGUAAGGAGACAAGUGGCUGGCCGUACAUUCUAGAGCCUUGCUUCCUUCCAGCUUACAUUUUUCCCCCCCAGGUGUUUCUGAUGUUGACAUGUUCAAACUGGCAGCCUGUCAGUUUUCAUCAUGAAGGUGCUACUACACAGGAAAAGGAAAACUUCAAGGGUGAUCAAAAUGGCUCAUCAAGGUUGGAAGGGCGGCUCAACGGCUUUGGCAAUGGAAGGGAGUCUCCAUUGGACUAUCCAGCAGGAUUUGAAGUAGUAGUGGUGGAAGCACCUUGUGGGUUCAGGGUGGAGGGCAAGCUUCCAGCAUCAAAUAGGGUGCCAGAUCUAUAUGGAGGAACAAAAGGUGAACUGCUGAUCUACCUUCCCCAGGGAAAGAGCAGUUGGCAUAAAUCGGCGGUCCUGCGCUGGUAAGUUUGUUUUGUUUUCAUUUCUAUCAAUAAUGUUUCUCUUCUCCUGGUGCCUUGUGUUUUGUUUUGUUUUGUUUUUCCUUGAGUAUUUAGAGUCUGUGUUUUUGCUAUAACUAGGUCAGAGACCCUAAGUAGGUCACGGUUACUCUCUAAAUGUGGCAAAUCCUUACGUGAAGCUGGGGGUGGGGGAGAAGACCUGAUGAUGAGUAAACAAAAGGCAGAAAAAGUUGAUUAAAUGACCCCAGGGAGAAUUGGAGAGGGCCUGAGAAAUACCAGCAUGAUGUAGGCAGCGAUCAGGGCUGAGGGAGUGAAAGGGCUGGAGAGUGGGCUAAAGCUGAGAAGAACAUAGAAAGGGAUAAUGGCUAUGGGCGUGAGGAAAGCAGAUAAAGUUGUUAGGACUAAAGAGUUGGAAGGAGAGGGGCUAGUGCAGGGAAGUGGGAGAGUGAAGAGAUGCAUGGGUGGGAGCAGCUCAAAAUGAGCUUUUAUGGUGGUGAAAAAUGCUGAGAUAGCGAAGUGUGUCUGUGAGAGGGAAAGACUGUGCUGGCAACUAGGAAAAGAGUAUGACCUGAAACUGAGGGAGAGGAGAAAGGUGAUGGAAGAAGUUUAACCAGAAGGUGUAAAGUGGGAGAUAAUGGAGUAUGAGGCAGAAUUCAUACAGUGGGAAGCUGUUGAUUCAAGCAAGGCCGUAUUGAAACUUGUGUGUCUUUCCUCUUCUAUUUGGGAAAGGUGGGCGUGCUGAAGGCAGGUACUGCAAAAGGUGGUGUGACUGCCCGUGUUUCUUAGUUGUUCCCCAUUUUGCAUGGGAUUUUCUCACUUCGAAUUUAAAGUUUUGACUCCCGUCCAAAGUUUUCUGCUCUUCUACAGGAGUCUUCAAAAUCCAAAGUAAGAAAUAUUAACACUGUGGCAAGAGGGAGUGCUAUUCACACCAAUAGGAGAAACCUUCAGGGUUUGAAAGUAUAUUACUUUUGCGUGCUUAAUUUUGGGCCUUUAUUACAGUGUCUUGC
rnacentral:lncRNA from 1 species